rnacentral:rRNA from 1 species
UACGGAGGGGGCUAGCGUUGUUCGGAAUUACUGGGCGUAAAGCGCGCGUAGGCGGCCCGGUAAGUCCGCUGUGAAAGUCCAGGGCUCAACCCUGGGAUGCCGGUGGGAUACUGUCGGGCUCGAGUCCGGUAGGGGAGUGUGGAAUUCCCGGUGUAGCGGUGAAAUGCGCAGAGAUCGGGAGGAACACCCGUAGCGAAGGCGGCACUCUGGGCCGGUACUGGACGCUGAGGAGCGAAAGCGUGGGGAGCAAACAGG